CGACCUCAGAUCAGAUGCGGGGACUCAUCUAAUUUAAGCAUAAUACUAAGCAGAAGAAAAGAAACUAACCAGGAUUCCCUCAGUAAUGGUGAGUGAAGAGGGAAGAGCCCAGCACCGAAUCUUUGCCCGGGUGACAGGUGCAGGGAAAUGUGGUGUACAGAAGUCCAUCUCUCCACUGCCAUCCAGGUGGCCCAAGUCCUUGUGAUCAAGGCUCAGCCCAUGGAAGGUGUGAUGCUGGUGAUGGCCCCCGGUGCUUCAGGAUUAGGUCUUCCCAGAGUUGGGUUGUUUGUGAAUGCAGCCCAAAGCAGGUGGUCAACUCCAUCUAAGGCUAAACACCAUCACGAGACCGAUAGCAGACAAGUACCAUAAGGAAAAGUUGAAAAGAACUUUGAAGAGAGAGUUCAAGAGGGCAUGAAACUGUUCAGAGGUAAACAGGUGUGGUCCACGCUGUCCACCCUGAGGAUUUAACUCGGCGGCUGCACCAGCCGCCCAAAUGAGGUGGAUCCCACUCCCCCUCUGGGGGGUUGUGUACCAUCCCCGGGCACACUGGCUGCUGUCGGGCGCACUUCCUCUGUGGCUGUGCUCUGUGACUGGCUCUGGGUCAUCAAGAAGACUGUGUGGAAUGUGGCACCUUUCGGUGGGGAGCGGUACAGCCCUCGGUAUCAGUUCUCUCCAUUCCCUGGGGUCGUGGUAGAUGACUGCCAAUGCACCCUCCCUCGCCCUUGCAGUGAGGGCUUGGGGCUUCCCUUGGGACUGUCAACUGGGCCAGACUGUGCUCAGUGCAUCCAGACUGCAUCCCGCCUCUGGGCUGGUGGGCUCACCUUGGGUGCCCAGGGUCCACAGCGGCAUCAGUAAUCCACCCAUCCCAUCUUGAAACAUGGACCAAGGAGUCUAACAGGUGCAUGAGUCUGAGGGUGAGCAGAGAUCCCAUGGUGCAAUGAAAGUGAGGGCCAGUGCAUGCCUGUCUCACCCAUCUCAUCGGGGAGGUGGAUAGUGAGCGUACCUAGUGGGACCCGAAAGAUGGUGAACUAUGCCUGGGCAGGGAGAAGCCAGAGGAAACUCUGGUGGAGGUCAGUAGUGGUCCUGAUGUGCAAAUUGGUAGUCCAGCCUAGGUAUAGGGAUGAAAGACUAAUUGAACCAUCUAGUAGCUGGUUCCCUCUGAAAUUUCCCUCAGGAUAGCUGGCGCUCGACAGAUGUAGUUUUAUUUGGCAAAGUGAAUGAUUAGAGGUCUUGAGGGCGAAACGAUCUCAAACCUCUUCUCAAACUUUAAGUGGGUAAGAAGCCCAACUUGCUGGUUUGGAGCUGGGUGUGGAAUACGAGCACCCAGUGGGCCACUUUUGGUAAGCAGAACUAGUGCUGUGGGAUGAACUGAAUGCUGGGUUAAGGCGCCCAAUGCCUAUGCUCAUCCAACCCCAGAAAAAGUGUUGGUUGAUAUAAACAGCAGGCUGGUGGCCAUGGAAGUUGGAAUCCACUAAGGAUUGUGUGACAACUCACUUGCAGAAUCAACUAGCCCUGAAAAUGGAUUGCGCUGGAGCGUUGGGCUCAUACCCGGCCAUCGCCAGUGCUUGGAGCCAAGAGGGCUAUGCCACGAUGAGUAGGAGGGCCAGCUGCAGUGGCACUGAAGCCCAGGGUGAGGUCCUGGGUAGAGCCACUAUGAGUGCAGAUCUUGGUGGUAGUAGCAAAUAUUCAAACAAGAGCUUUGAAGGUCGAAGUGGAGAAGGGUUCCAUGUGAACAGCAGUUGAACAUGGGUCAGACGGUCCUAAGAGAUAGGCAAAUGCCAGUCCAAAGAGAUGGGAGAUGGCCUCAGUUGCCCUCAGCUGAUUGAAUGGGAGUUGGGUUCUGAUCCCCGAAUCCAGAGCAGUGGAGAUGGGCACCUCGUGGAGUCCAGUGUGGUGAUGCAAACGAUACCUGAGAAGCCGGCAGGGUCCUUGGGAGAGUUCUCUUUUCUUUGUAAAGGGCAGGGCUCCCUGGAAUGGGGUUGCCCCAAGAGAGGGGUCCGCAACUUGGAAAGCAUAGCAUUUACAGUGGUGUCAGGUGAGAUCUUGCCGGCCCUUGAAAAUCCGCGAGAGAAGGUGUGAGUCUAGUGCCAGGCUGUACCCAUAUCCACAGCAGGUCUCCAAGGUGAACAGCCUCUGGCAUUUUAGAACAAUGUAGGUAAGGGAAGUCGGCAAGCCAAAUCCAUAACUUCUGGAUAAGGAUUGGCUCUAAGGGCUGGGGGGGGUCGGGCUCGGGCAUGAAGCGUAGCUGGGUGUGAGCAAAGGCUGGAUGAGGUGUUGCCCCCUCACCCUGCUCCCCCCUCUCGGGGGGCUGGGGGAACAGCAGCGGCGACUCUGGAUGUGCACUGGGCCCUUCCUGUGGAUCGCCCCAGCUAUGGCAUGUGCCUGUCCCAACCUGCAUCCUGCAUCAUCCGGCAGGUAGCAGUUGACUUAGAACUGGUGUGGACUGGGGGAAUCCAACUGUUUAAUUAAAACAAAGCAUCACAAAGACCCGAGAUGGGUG